rnacentral:ncRNA from 1 species
UUCCAGCUCCAAAAGUAUAUAUUAAGUUGUUGCGGUUAAAAAGCUCGUAGUUGGAUUUUGGGCGCAGGCGGCCGGUCCGUCGCAAGGCGUGUACUGGACGUCCUGGCCUUCCCUCCGGUUCUCCGCCGGUGCUCUUGACUGAGUGUCGGCGGCGGCCGGAACGUUUACUUUGAAAAAAUUAGAGUGUUCAAAGCAGGCUCUCGAGCCUGGAUAAUGGUGCAUGGAAUAAUGGAAUAGGACCUCGGUUCUAUUUUGUUGGUUUUCGGAGCGCGAGGUAAUGAUUAAGAGGGACAGACGGGGGCAUUCGUACUGUGCCGUUAGAGGUGAAAUUCUUGGAUCGGCGCAAGACGAACGACUGCGAAAGCAUUUGCCAAGAAUGUUUUCUUUAAUCAAGAGCGAAAGUCAGAGGUUCGAAGACGAUCAGAUACCGUCCUAGUUCUGACUAUAAACGAUGCCAACUAGCGAUCGGGGGGCGUUACAUUGACGACCCCUCCGGCAGCUUACGGGAAACCAAAGUCUUUGGGUUCCGGGGGAAGUAUGGUUGCAAAGCUGAAACUUAAAGGAAUUGACGGAAGGGCACCACCAGGAGUGGAGCCUGCGGCUUAAUUUGACUCAACACGGGAAAUCUCACCCGGCCCGGACACAGUGAGGAUUGACAGAUUGAGAGCUCUUUCUUGAUUCUGUGGGUGGUGGUGCAUGGCCGUUCUUAGUUGGUGGAGCGAUUUGUCUGGUUAAUUCCGAUAACGAACGAGACUCUGGCUUGCUAAAUAGUUACGCGACCAUCCCGGUCGGCGUUUAACUUCUUAGAGGGACAAGUGG